CAGACUAAAAAAGCAGGGCUCUACAUGUUUCAAGUAGUGUUCUGUGUUUCCGUUCUACAACACCAUUCUGUUGAGGUGAAUGAGGGCAAGAAGUUUGAUGAAUAAUCCCCUGGCUACUAAAAAAGGAUAUGCCCUCAGUGCUGGAGCCCAAUUCUAAGGCUUUGUCACUUCUGACAGUCUGAACCACAGAGUUAAACUGAGUCUAAACAAAGGAAAUGAACGACUUAAGCAGAGAAAAGGCAUUGCUUUUGGAUCCCAUUAAGUGUGUCCAGGUUGCCCUAGAAAAGUCAUCAACUAUAGUAAGGAAGUAUUUAUAAUGUCUGAACCACAGAGUUAAACUGAGUCUUAACAAAGGAAAUGGAAGACUUAAGCAGAGAAAAGGCAUUUCUUUUGGAUCCCAUUAAGUGUGUCCAGGUUGCCCUAGAAAAGUCAUCAACUAUAGUAAGGAAGUAUUUAUAACCAGAAGAAGUAGAAGUGUGGUAAGGUCCCUAAGUGUCCACAUGUAUUAAUUGAAAUGGUCUAGUUGUACUGAUACUGCUGUCAUGAAAGGGAAGUCUUGUCUGCUUUGCCAUAGGGCAGACAGAACAGGGAAAGGGUUGUUUAGGAGCAAGGGGAAAAGACAAACCAGAAAUAUGUCUCAUACUAGUAAAGGGAGUAUGUGCCAGUCUUAAAUGCCAAAUGUAAUUCAUAUCAUUGAU
rnacentral:lncRNA from 1 species